GUUACAAUGGCAGGUACAGAGGGGUGCUACCGGGUGACCGGAUGCCGAUCUCGAAAACCUGUCCCAGUUCGGACUGGAGUCUGCAACCCGACUCCACGAAGUUGGAUUCGCUAGUAAUCGCGCAUCAGCCAUGGCGCGGUGAAUACGUUCCCGGGCCUUGUACACACCGCCCGUCAAGCCAUGGGAGCCGGGGGCGCCUGAAGUCCGGGACCGCGAGGACCGGCCUAGGGCGAAACUGGUGACUGGGGCUAAGUCGUAACAAGGUAAC
rnacentral:rRNA from 1 species